GACGAACGCUGGCGGCGUGCUUAACACAUGCAAGUCGAACGGAAAGGCCCUGCUUUUGUGGGGUGCUCGAGUGGCGAACGGGUGAGUAACACGUGAGUAACCUGCCCUUGACUUUGGGAUAACUUCAGGAAACUGGGGCUAAUACCGGAUAGGAGCUCCUGCUGCAUGGUGGGGGUUGGAAAGUUUCGGCGGUUGGGGAUGGACUCGCGGCUUAUCAGCUUGUUGGUGGGGUAGUGGCUUACCAAGGCUUUGACGGGUAGCCGGCCUGAGAGGGUGACCGGCCACAUUGGGACUGAGAUACGGCCCAGACUCCUACGGGAGGCAGCAGUGGGGAAUAUGGCAAAAUGGGCGGAAGCCUGAUGCAGCAACGCCGCGUGCGGGAUGACGGCCUUCGGGUUGUAAACCGCUUUCGCCUGUGACGAAGCGUGAGUGACGGUAAUGGGUAAAGAAGCACCGGCUAACUACGUG
rnacentral:rRNA from 1 species